rnacentral:rRNA from 1 species
AAACCAGCACCUCAAGUGGUCAGUAGGAUUAUUGGGCCUAAAGCAUCCGUAGCCUGUUCUGUAAGUUUUCGGAUAAAUCCACUAGCUCAACUAGUGGGCUGCCGAAAAUACUGUAGAACUAGGGAGUGGGAGAGGUAGACGGUAUUCGGUAGGAAGGGGUAAAAUCCUUUGAUCUAUUGAGGACCACCUGUGGCGAAGGCGGUCUACCAGAACACGUUCGACGGUGAGGGAUGAAAGCUGGGGGAGCAAACCGGAUUAGAAACCCCAGUAGUCC